rnacentral:lncRNA from 1 species
CCAGGAAAGCAAUUUUUUAAAUCUAAUUUAACAUCUCAAACUAUUUCAUACACACCAAGCAAUUAAACACGUACACAACAAUAUAAACAUAAUAUAUUUAUAUUUAAGUAUUACCCUUAUCCAAAAGUACAUAAUCAACCAAACAUAACCAAAACUAAGACUAAAUUAUCACUACUACCUACACUUGCAAGUAUCACAAGUGAAUUGAUCUUCACCAUCAGACACAUACAAAAGGGGGAAUAAAUCCUUUUAAAUUCUUGCAUACAAAAAGUCAAUAUCCU